rnacentral:lncRNA from 1 species
GUUUAGAGUUUAGGGUUUAGAGUUUAGGGUUUAGGGUUUAGAGUUUAGAGUUUAGGGUUUAGGGUUUAGAGUUUAGGGUUUAGGGUUUAGGGUUUAGGGUUUAGGGUUGAGAAACGAGGUUUUGGGGAUAAGAUUUCAAAUUUUGAAAAAUAAAAAAAUUAAAAUUUUCAAAAGAUAAAAUGCUAUUUUGGUCAUUUUAGUUUUUGAGUGCUAUUUUUGUGAUAUAAACUUUGAAACGUGCUAUUUUGGAGAUUUGCCCUUUAAAAUAUUUAAAAUAAUUUAAAAAUACUAUUUAUAAACAGAAAGUACCAAAAGAAUAAAUUACCAGAACAAAUUUUAUCUGAAAAUUUUAAAAUUGUCUAAGCUAUCCAAAGUUUAUUUUUGAAAACUCAAA